rnacentral:rRNA from 1 species
ACGGGGGGUGCAAGCGUUGUUCGGAAUUAUUGGGCGUAAAGAGCGUGUAGGCGGCUGAAUAAGUCAGAUGUGAAAUCCCUGGGCUCAACGCAGGAAGUGCAUUUGAAACUAUGCAGCUUGAGUAGUGGAGAGGAGAGUGGAAUUCCUGGUGUAGAGGUGAAAUUCGUAGAGAUCAGGAGGAACACCGGUGGCGAAGGCGGCUUUCUGGCCCGAUUCUGACGCUAAGACGCGAAAGCGUGGGUAGCAAACAG